rnacentral:rRNA from 1 species
UACGUAGGGCGCAAGCGUUGUCCGGAAUUAUUGGGCGUAAAGAGCUCGUAGGCGGUCUGUCGCGUCUGUUGUGAAAACUCGAGGCUCAACCUCGGGCUUGCAGUGGAUACGGGCAGACUAGAGUGCGGUAGGGGAGACUGGAAUUCCUGGUGUAGCGGUGGAAUGCGCAGAUAUCAGGAGGAACACCGAUGGCGAAGGCAGGUCUCUGGGCCGCAACUGACGCUGAGGAGCGAAAGCAUGGGGAGCGAUCCGG